CUCCUUUGAAAUUCACUCUCUUGGAGUAGUUUUUUCUGGAUGUAUUUUUUUUUUUGUAUCCGUUAGUUCAAUGUGACGAAAGAGAGAGGUUUCUGAAAAAAGCAAGUACUCAUAACUCAUAAGUACUAUGAGUGACAUGUAUGGUCAAUGUUUCUGAGUUUUGACUGUUAACUUACCUUUUUUUAAGUCGAUGACCUCUCUGUUCGGCAGGCUAACCAUGAGCCCUACAUCUACAUGCACAUUUGGAGUUUCUUGCAUGACAUUCCAAUGAAAACUAUCCCAUCGAAUUCUAUAUUUUUUUUUUUGGUAAAAUGUUAAAGAUUAUAUUACCAAGUUUUCAUUUUUUACAGAAGAACACAGAGUAGCAGAGUGCAAGAAUUGAAACUAAACAGAUCAUCUAAAGCAGAGUACAACUUUAAACAAAAGAAGAUGAUGUCCGGAAAGGGACUGAUGUUAACGUAGCAGCGACGGACCUAAUGAGAGGGUAUGAGCGGAACAAGCCUCCAGUUUCCGUGAGCUACCGGAGAGAAAGGCGCCCUCAAACCUUGAAGCACCGGCUCCUACAGCUUCUAGAAACCCACUCAUCAAUACAUUCCCAAAGAAUCACGUCUCGAGCUCGCAAGCACAUCCAACAUUGCCUCACCGGCAGCACGAGGAGGAGUCCACAACCGGCGAUGCCGUCGUUCGGGACGGGAGUUCGAAGAUUGCUGCCUCCAACUCCUCCACCCCGGGACCGUGUACACCCUUUUAACCCACCACACAUAUAGAGCAGUGAGACAGGUCGGGCACAUCUCCUCCGGAGAAACAACCGUCGAACGUAGAAAGAAGCCCGAGAGCCAAGCUAACACCUUUCCGCUGACCUAAGAACCACUCGCUUUCACCAAAGCCAACUUGCUAAGAUGACGAAGGGACAGAGACUGGUGACGAGGAGCGCCACACCGUAGGACCUACUCCGGCUUUAGAGUGAUGUAAGAACCACAUGUCAAGAGGAGCUCGACAGGGGGAGACAUCAGCUUCACGCGCCACCACUGGCGAGAUCGCAAGGAAGAGACGACGAUCCCUUGGAAUCUCUCCACGCGCGACCUCAUGGAGACCACCAGAGAAUCAAAAGAGGAGCAUAGGAACUUGAGAUCCACAGAUCCACAAGCGCCAAGCCCGCUCUGAAACCAGACACUACGAAGCCAUCAGCCACGCUCCACAGCGACAGUAUCGAACGAGCUUAUCGCACGACUCACGCGCCACCAACUCGAAGAGAUUUGGUCAGAGAAAGGGAAAACGUCACCGAGCAGAGAUCCCUUCGCAGACCGGAGACACCACAAUAGAAGGGAAGAUCGUCCUCAAGCCCCACCGCAAACCACCAUGGACCACCAGAUCUGAGCCAGGAACCGCCGGAUCUGAACCGGAGACAACUCGACCAAGCCCAACCCCAGCCGAAAGAGAGAUAGACCACGGAGAUGAACAGAGAAACGGAAUAGAAACACAGAGAGAAGCUACCGGCGACCACCCCUAGGGGACGGCGGCCGCCGGGAGAGCACAACAAAAUUAGGGUUUUUUUUUAAGUUAGAGAGAGGUUGUAGCGUAAAAAGUUUCCCAAAAUUAGUCAACAAAAUUCUAUAUUGUUAUAGGUUUGCUAGUCAUAAAGGUGUGUAGUUGAAACUUUUAUUUCGACGCAUUAAGGAUUCCAAC
rnacentral:lncRNA from 1 species